CACCACCGCACGUGCCGCUCUCCGUAAGCGGUAAAUAUCGGUGCUGUGGUGGCGCACCUGCCUCACAGCACGCAUUCCCUUUCUCUCCCCUUCAUUUCAGCGUGUUUCUAACCUCUUCUCAUGCUUUGCCGCGCGCAUUUCUUUUUCGUUCUUUGCAGCUAAUCUAUUUAGCGAAUUCUGGUUGCCGUACGCACGUGCAUUGGCCUGCCUAGCGUUCCAUAUUCAGAGUGUAUCUCUUUUCUGUUUUUUUUUCCGCAGCUCCUCUUGCUCCCCUUGUUUCUCCUCGCAGAUGACCAUGAUGCGGCGAUGUAGAGGCUUCAAGCUCUGCACCGCCAUCGGCCUCGCACUAAUGGCGGUGCUGUUGAUGAGUAGCGCGUCCGCCGCGGAAACAAGCUGCGGCUUCAGCACCCAGCGCUUGCAGUGCGGCGACUUUGCAUGCGACAAGGAGGGGAAGAUUUGUAUUGCGUGCCGCGCGGACAACGACUGCUACCCUGGCGCGAUGCGCUGCGACGCGACCUCGGGGAAGUGCAAGAUGCGCAGCUUCACCUCCCUCUUCGGAGCGCGCACUAUCCUUGCGAUGCUGGGCGCUUUCGUUGUCUGCUCCAUUGCAGUGCUCGCUGGCGUCGGUGGUGGCGGCAUUCUGGUGCCCAUGCUCUGCGGACUAAUGGAGAUCCCCAUGCAGUCCGCUGUGGGGAUGUCACAGUCCACCAUUUGCGGACAGAGCACGCUCAACAUGUACUUGAUCAUCCGGCAAAAGCACCCCGACUCUAGCUGGGAUCGUCCGCUGAUUAAUUACCAAUAUCUGAGCCUGCUUCUGCCACCCGGUCUCAUCGGUACCUUAAUUGGCGGAAUUCUGAGUAAGCUCUGCCCUGAUGUGCUGCGCCUCAUCCUUCUUCUUGUGCUGCUCUCCGUUGUGCUCUACCGCAGCUGGGAGACGAUGAAGAAGCAGUACCGGCAGGACACGGAUCCGAUGCAUGUGACUGUGGAGGCGAACGACGCGAACGCAACGUCGCAUCGGGAGAGCUACGACGGCAAUGGCAAGAGCCAGAGCCGCGAGCUGACCGAGACGGCUGGCGGUGCCAAGAAGGGGUUGUGCGAGGACAUCGCUGUUUUGCCGACGCCGGAGCAGAGUCCACCGCCUAUCGAGCGCCCGCCGCAAUCACAGUACCUGCAGCAGGAGCUCUCUAUGAACAUUGCCUGCUUCCUGGUGCUGCUUCUGUUCAACAUUUUCCGGACGUACACAGUGUGCGGCGGCUUCCUGUAUUGGCUGUGUGUGUUGGUUCCCGUGGCCUUUCUGAGCGUCGUGUUCUACUUCAACCGCGAGAAGCUGCGCAAGCUGACGGAGUCUGACCCGGCGCAGAUGACGUUCACCUGGACUCAACGAAACUCGGUGACUUACCCGAUGGUGGCGGUGCUUGCAGGUGGGUCAGCGGCCAUGCUUGGCAUCGGCGGUGGCCUUGUGCUGGGGUUUGUACUGAACGAGGUGGGUAUAGUGCCUCAAGAAGCAUCGGCGACGGGCGGUAUGGCCACCUUCUUCAUUGCCUUCUCGUCUGCGCUGCAUCUCCUCAUCACGGGUAGCCUUGUCGUCGACUUUAGCGUCGUCUUCUGCAUUGUUGGGCUAUGCAGCAGCGCCUUGGGCCAGCUAGUAAUCAUGAAUUACAUCAAGAGGCGCGGCCUGACUACCUCAUCAUCGGCUCUCUCGUCUUCGUUGUUGGUGGCUCGCUGGUUGCGCUCGGUGGCUAUGGUAUCUACAACGCCGUCAUCUCCACCCAGGCAGGCGGCUCCGUGCUGGCGUUUGGCCGCUUCUGUGCGAGAGCGAAGUAGACAGCCAAGCGUACCGGAAAGAGCAGCCAGAACGCAAAAACAGGCAAACGCGUACGCGUUCACACUUCCCUUCACCCUUCCCCCUUCCCCCUCCCCACACUUCGAUGACCGUUCGCUUUGCUAUCAGGGCGAGUAUGCGCGCCUGUCUUUCGAUGUCCUCCCUCUUUCCCUGCCUUGACUUGCCGAGGAGCUGCCCGUUCGUCUCCAGGUGUAUGGUGGAGGGCCUCAUCCUUGUGUGGAUGCGCCACGUCCCUACCCUUUUAUGUAUUUCCGCCAAGUAGGGACGUGCUCAGGGCCGGAAGGAUGGCAAGGGUGGGACGGACGGGGAGGUGGGGAACGCACGAAGGAAGAGAAUCGUAGUGACUGCCGCGUGCUUGUUUUUAUCGCUCUUCUUCGUUUUUUUUCUCGGAUGCUCGCUCUUCUUCCUUCAGUCUUUUCGUUUUUUUUUUUUUGGGGGGGGGGGAAUGUUUCUGCUCAUCCUGCCUGAAAGUGAGGCUCAUUGCUGCGCCUCUCCUGAGGCCGCACAAGCGUGGUGAUGAUCCCGCGUCCUACCGCCCCUGGGACACCGACCGGCAAUCUGUGCAAGUUACUCGUGCGAAUGACCUCGCGAUGACUGCGCGCCCAUGUGGAAGACAUGCUCCAGCCAUGGAGGUCUGGCUUCCGUGCUCACCGCCCCACUGCCCACCCCCUGGAGACUCGCACCUUUACAGAGUACUGCAAUGCCAGCCAGGUGCCAAGACAGGAGCAAUGCCUGCGGACUCCACUUGCGCAUUCGACUCGCUAGCUCGCAGCGCUAUCAUGGCACUCAAGUUCAACGCAGACCCAAGCCGUCCUCGCUCGGCCAUGGAGGUCUCAGACGAUUGUUUCGGCUGUGCUCGCUUCUGCAAGAGAUCGACGGUGGCCAGCUUGUGCAUGCGGAGUCCCACAAGGAUCGGCCGUAGGCCCUCUUUUCUUCGUCAGUGCACUGGACUCGCUAAGUGGAGCUCAACAGGAGACCCGGACUGCACCACGCCUCCUUUACCGAUGGCGUUGCCUGCCUCACGCCCUCCACAGGCACGGGUGCCACACGAGCCCGACUGAAGCCCGUCUUCUGAUGUGGGCGGGGCACUGGACACUGAAGCAUUCCGUGGUGAUGAGCGCCCCCACUCAAAGCGCGGUGCGCACUCUUCGGCGCGCGACACCGCAAUCAACUGCAACUCCCCACACUCACGCGGGGGGGGGACGCCCUGCGCACUGGGCGUGGGAGGCGCACACGCCGGGCGGCAGCGCUGUCGCAGCACUUCGGCGGCUCUCGCACGGGUAUGCAGCUAUCGACCCUUGCUGACAUGAACGGAACUGCCAGAUGGAGACAGCGAGCCACCCGGGCAGCAGCGUUGCCCUGAGGCAGGCCCCGGCCCCGAAAACGCGCGCCCCGCGCGCACGCGCUGCGAAUGGCCGCUGGCACGGUGUAUCCCGCCCAAGCAAGGCAUGGAGCGGUGAGCAGGGCGCGGGCGACGGUGGAGAGGGGCGCGCAGAGAUGCACAGUGAUGAGCCCCAAAGUGCAUGUGUGGGGAACGUGCGGCAUCUCCUGCAUCGGACCUGGUGGGCUGAUGUGGCGCAGAUGCCGGAAGCAUGAGGGGGCCACCCCGGGCUGCACCGUCGAGCCCCCGCAGACUCCGAUGUGGAGAGUCGCCGCACCACAUUGAGGAAUGCCGCGGCCUGAGGGGACGGAGGGAGAGGCAUGGCACACAGGCAGAGUGUGCGGGGCCUCCGAGGGCCCUCGCCUGCAGCUGGGCAACUGCCUCCCUGAGCUCAUCCGGCACGCGCCUAGGCCCGCCCCUAAUUACCCGCGCGCCAGACGCCAGGGUGUUCCGCCCCUCGAGCAGGACCCCGGAGGUGGCCUGCUUGGAUCAAGGCAUGCAGUCCAGCCGGGUCCGCCUGGCGCCGAUCGCGCAGCACGUAUCCGAGGAAGGACGAGAGGUGCACGCUAGAAGCAUGGCCCAAUGCAGCGGCAGGACGGCUCGUCCCAGACGAGCAGGGCUGAGCCAUGGCGCAGCAGAGGCAGGAGAACUGCGAUUGCGUGUGUGCGCAUAGUUGUUGACUUGCUCGUGGCAGAAUGACCACGUGGCCAAAAGUGAGGAACGAUUGUUUCCGCUUUUGGCGCCGAGUAAGUCUCAAGUGGUGAUCACAGUGGUAGAGCUUUCUGCAGGCAGUUUCGUGUUUUUUGGCUUGCUGGUGCAGUGGAGUUGGAAGAGGGCACUUCAGUCAUUCAUCAUCUCACGAAGCGGACACACAUAAUCCUCUGCGUAGGUGGCGCGAUGUAGUCUGUAUCGGUUUUCUACCAAACUGCCUUGAUUCUUAGUCAUCG
rnacentral:misc_RNA from 1 species